GACGAACGCUGGCGGCGUGCUUAACACAUGCAAGUCGAACGGAAAGGCCCUGCUUUUGUGGGGUGCUCGAGUAGCGAACGGGUGAGUAACACGUGAGUAACCUGCCCUUGACUUUGGGAUAACUUCAGGAAACUGGGGCUAAUACCGGAUAGGAGCUCCUGCUGCAUGGUGGGGGUUGGAAAGUUUCGGCGGUUGGGGAUGGACUCGCGGCUUAUCAGCUUGUUGGUGGGGUAGUGGCUUACCAAGGCUUUGACGGGUAGCCGGCCUGAGAGGGUGACCGGCCACAUUGGGACUGAGGUACGGCCCAGACUCCUACGGGAGGCAGCAGUGGGGAAUAUUGCACAGUGGGCGGAAGCCUGAUGCAGCAACGCCGCGUGCGGGAUGACGGCCUUCGGGUUGUAAACCGCUUUCGCCUGUGACGAAGCGUGAGUGACGGUAAUGGGUAAAGAAGCACCGGCUAACUACGUG
rnacentral:rRNA from 1 species